rnacentral:rRNA from 1 species
GUAGGGAAUAUUGCACAAUGGAGGAAACUCUGAUGCAGCGACGCCGCGUGAGUGAUGAAGGCCUUCGGGUCGUAAAACUCUGUGAUAAGGGAAGAUGAUGACGGUACCUUAUCAGAAAAGACCGGCUAACUUCGUGCCAGCAGCCGCGGUAAUACGAGGGGUCUAAGCGUUGUUCGGAAUCACUGGGCGUAAAGCGGGUGUAGGUGGCUAUGCAAGUUGGAUGUGAAAGCCCCGGGCUCAACCCGGGAAGUGCAUCCAAAGCUACGUAGCUUGAGUGCGGGAGAGAAAGGCAGAAUUCCUGGUGUAGUGGUGAAAUACGUAGAUAUCAGGAGGAACUCCGGUGGCGAAGGCGGCCUUUUGGCCCAGCACUGACACUCAGACCCGAAAGCGUGGGUAGCAAACAGGAUUAGAAACCCGAGUAGUCC